ACAAACUUGGUCAUUUAGAGGAAGUAAAAGUCGUAACAAGGUCUCCGUAGGUGAACCUGCGGAGGGAUCAUUACUGAGUGAGGGCCCUGGGCCCGACCUCCAACCCUUUGUGAACCACUCUGUUGCUUCGGGGGCGACCCUGCCGUUUGCGCGGCGGCGGCGCCCCCGGAGGUCCACUCAAACACUGCGUAACUUUGCGUCGGAGUCUUGAAAAUAAAUCAAAACUUUCAACAACGGAUCUCUUGGUUCUGGCAUCGAUGAAGAACGCAGC
rnacentral:misc_RNA from 1 species